GUCGAGCGGCAGCACGGGUACUUGUACCUGGUGGCGAGCGGCGGACGGGUGAGUAAUGCCUAGGAAUCUGCCUGGUAGUGGGGGAUAACGCUCGGAAACGGACGCUAAUACCGCAUACGUCCUACGGGAGAAAGCAGGGGACCUUCGGGCCUUGCGCUAUCAGAUGAGCCUAGGUCGGAUUAGCUAGUUGGUGAGGUAAUGGCUCACCAAGGCGACGAUCCGUAACUGGUCUGAGAGGAUGAUCAGUCACACUGGAACUGAGACACGGUCCAGACUCCUACGGGAGGCAGCAGUGGGGAAUAUUGGACAAUGGGCGAAAGCCUGAUCCAGCCAUGCCGCGUGUGUGAAGAAGGUCUUCGGAUUGUAAAGCACUUUAAGUUGGGAGGAAGGGCAUUAACCUAAUACGUUAGUGUUUUGACGUUACCGACAGAAUAAGCACCGGCUAACUCUGUGCCAGCAGCCGC
rnacentral:rRNA from 1 species